UACGUAGGGGGCUAGCGUUGUCCGGAUUUAUUGGGCGUAAAGAGCGUGUAGGCGGCCAGAUAGGUCUGCUGUGAAAACUCGAGGCUCAACCUCGAGAUGUCGGCGGAAACCAUUUGGCUAGAGUCCGGAAGAGGAAAGUGGAAUUCCUGGUGUAGCGGUGAAAUGCGCAGAUAUCAGGAGGAACACCGAUGGCGAAGGCAGGUCUCUGGGCCACUACUGACGCUGAGAAGCGAAAGCAUGGGGAGCGAACAGG
rnacentral:rRNA from 1 species